UCCUGCGAAAGACACUGUUUU
rnacentral:piRNA from 1 species